rnacentral:rRNA from 1 species
AGUGAACGCUGGCGGUAGGCCUAACACAUGCAAGUCGAACGGCAGCACAGUAAGAGCUUGCUCUUACGGGUGGCGAGUGGCGGACGGGUGAGGACUACAUCGGAAUCUACUUUUUCGUGGGGGAUAACGUAGGGAAACUUACGCUAAUACCGCAUACGACCUACGGGUGAAAGCAGGGGAUCUUCUGACCUUGCGCGAUUGAAUGAGCCUAUGUCGGAUUAGCUAGUUGGCGGGGUAAAGGCCCACCAAGGCGACGAUCCGUAGCUGGUCUGAGAGGAUGAUCACCCAGACGGGAACUGAGAAACGGCCCAGACUCCUACGGGAGGAAACAGUGGGGAAUAUUGGGCAAUGGGGGCAAGCCUGAUCCAGCCAUACCGCGUGGGUGAAGAAGGCCUUCGGGUUGUAAAGCCAUUUUGUUGGGAAAGAAAAGCAGCAGGUUAAUACCCCGCUGUUCUGACGGUACCAAAAGAAUAAGCACCGGCUAACUUCGUG